rnacentral:lncRNA from 1 species
CGCUCAGUCGGACAUUGGAAGUACAAAUAAUACUCAUUUGAUAUACCAUGAUGCUUAUUUGCCUAUUAAUAGUUAAAAUGUUGCUAAUGAUGAUAUAGUACUCAUUUGUAUUCUUAAUGGCAUUUUAAUACUUUCCUCUUUGUUACAAUAUAAUAUUCAUGGGGGAAAUUUUGGAAAAUACAGGAAAAAGAAAAUAGUUUGAAGG